UAGGUUGGAAAAGGCAUACGAUAAGAUAUGAAAAGGCAACAGGACACAAGACAACCAAACGCAUAAUCCCGCAAGGCAAAACUAGGCAAGCAAGUCAAGCCAAGUCGCAAGAUCUAUGUUGUUGUGUUGGAAUAGUAAUGGCGAGAUUGAUGGUGAAUUUCAAUAGAAUGUCACAUUAGCGAUAAUGUGAGUUGAUUUAGCUGAAUGAGUAAUUUCGUUGAAUGAAUAUUUUAGCAGAAAUGGAAAUUUGAGAUGCAGAUGUGGAUGGAUAUGUAAGCGUGAAUGAAAACUCUAGUAUUUUAUUUUUAUC